GAUGAACGCUGGCGGCGUGCCUAACACAUGCAAGUCGAACGGAGUAUUUCGGAUGAAGUUUUCGGAUGGAUUUUGAGAUACUUAGUGGCGGACGGGUGAGUAACGCGUGGGCAACCUGCCCCAUACCGGGGGAUAACAGCCGGAAACGGCUGCUAAAACCGCAUACGAUGCAGAAGUCGCAUGACUUUUGCAUGAAAUAUUCAUAGGUAUGGGAUGGGCCCGCGUCUGAUUAGCUAGUUGGUGAGGUAACGGCUCACCAAGGCGACGAUCAGUAGCCGGCUUGAGAGAGUGACCGGCCACAUUGGGACUGAGACACGGCCCAGACUCCUACGGGAGGCAGCAGUGGGGAAUAUUGCGCAAUGGGGGAAACCCUGACGCAGCGACGCCGCGUGAGCGAAGAAGGCCUUAGGGUCGUAAAGCUCUGUUUUAAGGGACGAAUGUCGCGGGUAAUAAUACGAUCUGCGAAUGACGGUACCUUAAGAGGAAGCCCCGGCUAACUACGUG
rnacentral:rRNA from 1 species